ACGACCUUACUUGAACAGGAUCUGUUCUAUAGGCUCGUACCGCUGCAUCCUUUACCAAUAAGGAGGCAAGCACUUCAGUCUGCUUGAUGCAUUCUGACCUCUGGGCCAGAGCGUGAUUAACGGCCUGGAUGAAUCCUGAUGGGUGUAGAGGAUCGUUCCUGUCCAGUUAACACUGGUGCAGGGGGUGGCUUGCAGGUUGUCUGACAGACU